rnacentral:lncRNA from 1 species
CUGGUGACCCGGAGACCAUUUUCUGUCUUCAUAGAUUUUCUGAAGCACAGGAGAACACUUGGCUGAUCUUCGAAGGAGUUAAGGAGCAGAUAGCAGGAAAUUAUAGAGAAAAAUGGAAAACAGAUUCUUUGGUGAAAGUGCAUAAUCUUGGAGAAUAUCAUGUCAAGUAAGCCAAUCCCCCCAAAC